UGAAAAUAUUUACAUAGUAGAAGGUGAUAAAAAUUCAAAUAUAGUAAAAAAAUUAGGUGCUCACAGGCAUGUAACAACAAGUGCUAAUAAAUUCAUGUAAGAGCAACCUCGACAGUGGAAACUAGAACAUGUAAUGACAACUUCAGUUAAAGCAGGUAAGAAUAAACUUGACAGCAAAAGGUAGAACAAAUGAUAACAAUUUCAAUUAAAUACAUAUGAUUAGCCUAAGAGUCUAAACCGGUCAAAUAUGCACAUAAAAGCUCGUGUAUACACUCGUCACCUCAUGUACACGUCUUCCACAUGAUUCAAAUAGUACAAUCAAACACAAUCCUAAGGGGUGGUUUCCCGACACAAAGUUAGACAAGAUACUUACCUCAAACAAGCUAAAUCAAUCCACUGAUAAGCCCUUCCCAUGUAAUCCAACUCCGGACGACUCGAAUCUAGACAAAAUGACUUAAUAUUAUAAAUAAAAGUCACAUGAAGCAAUUCUGGAUAAUAAAGAUUCAAUCUUUAAUGAAAACAAAAGGUAAACUCAAAAAGUAAACCUCGGGCCUGCACCCCGGAACAUGGUCAAACUCAUAAAUUUCGAAUACUCAUUCAAUUACGAGUCCAACCAUACCAAAAUCAUCCAAUUCUGACCUCAAAUCGACCUUCAAAUCCUCAUUUUAUACUUUAGGAAAGUUUUUACUAAAAUCCCCGAUUUCUCCAAUUCAAUCACCAAUUAAAGGAUAAAAAUGAAGAUGGGAUCAUGACUAAUGGACAAAUCCGAGUCAAUAAUAAUUACCACGAUCCAAAUCGUAAAAAUUUACUCCAAAAUCUCCCAAAAUCGAGCUCUACAACUCAAAAUAUGUUAAAAUGAACCAAACCCUCGAAAUAGAUUAUUAUAUAAUCUGCACAGGUGUUAUAUGUCAUGAUUGUGGGACCUACGUCGUGAUCGCGAAGAACAAACCAUCAUUGUCUCUGAAUUGGCCUACGCGAACACGAUGCAUGACCACCUUGCCACUAAGCGAACGCGGGAAGCCUUACGCGAUCGCGAAGGCUUACAGCCUGAAGACCCCCCCCCCCCCAGCUAAACUCCCUUCUACACGAACGCGUCAACCUUAACACGAUUGUGGAGACCACUUCACCCAAAUCUUCGCGAACGCGGUUAACAACCCGCCUUCCGUCAAGGACACCCUACGCGAUCGCGAAGAAGGAAACCAGAACUGAGAACCAGCAGUUCCAAAACAUGGAGAAAUUGCCCGAAACUCAUUCAAACCCACUAAUCCCACAGCAUAACACGAACCAACUCGAGGCCUCAAAUCACACCAAACAAUAUCAAAACUACGAAUUGCACUUCAAUUCAAGCCUAAUGAACUAAUGAACAUUUUCAAAUUCAAAACUUGCGCCGAACAAGCCUAAACAACUCCGAAUAACCUCACAUUUUGCACACUAGUCCCAAAUGACACAACAGACUUAUUCCAACUCCCAGAAUCAAAAUCUAAACCUGAUAUCUACAAAGUCAACUCUCAGUCAAACUCCGCAACCUUCCAAACCUUCAACUUUCCAACUUUUGCAAAAAAUAUCAAAUCAACCUAUAGACCUCCGAAUCAACAUCCGGACAUACACCUCAAUCCAAAAUCACCAUACGAAGCUAUUGGAACCAUCAAAACUCCCUUCCGGAUUCGUCUACACACAAAUCAAACUCCAGUCAACUCUUUCAACUUAAACUUCCAACUUUGGGACUAAGUGUCCCAAUUCACUCCGAAACUUACCCGAAACCAAACCAACCACCCCGGUAAGUCAGAUAACCCCAAAUGAACAUAGAAGAGGUAAUAAAUAGGGAAACGUGGCUACAAUACUCAAAACAACCGGACGAGUCGUUACAAAUAACAAUCUUGCACGUAUCAUAUUGCAAUCCUUCUUCUUUAUACUGAUAGUUAGCCGCCGUAGCUCAAUUCUCAAUUACCUGUAAUUAAUUCGACUCAAUCAUAGUUUUAUUUUGUUAGUUCUAAUAUUAAUAAUCUCAAAUCAAUUAUUCUUCCCGAAUAGUGUCAAGCCUUAAAUUAUUAGAACAUUGUGUAAUCCAAUUUAUAUGGAUACGAUAUAUAAAAUAUGCGAUAUUUGACUAGCGAACAUUCGAUUUAUAUACUGGUUUUGCGCUCGUCAAUAUGCCCUGUGAUUGACUUAUUUUAGGAGCUCAUUAACAACUAAACUUUUUUUUAUAAUGUGCAUAUAAGUUAAAACCAUGUUAAUAGAGUAUCACGAAUAUACAGGGAGUGUUUAUUCUUGAAGUUGAGCUUUGGUUUGAAGAAUUAGCCUCAAGGGCAAAAUCCUUCAUAAUUCAUGGGAAAUGAACUACACAAACAAAAUCAAAGGUGCAAAGGUGAUUAUAUUCACCUAAAGAAUAUGAUUAAUUAAUACAAGUUAGAAACACGUGGUGUAUACUCCCUCCGUUCAAAUUAGACGAGUUACUUUUUUUUUUAGUCUGUUCCAAAAUAAAUGACACAUUUUGAAAUUAGAAAAUAAUUCAACUUUAAACUUUUCAUUUUAUCCACUUUACCCUUAAUGAGAAGCUUUUAUAACCAUACAAAUGCAUAGCCCCACAAAGCUUUUACCCUUAAGCUUUUAAUACCACAAGUUUCAAAAAUCUUUUUUUCUUCUUAAGCUCCGUGCCUAGUUAACUACCUAAUCUAAAUUGAAACGGAUGAAAUAAUAUGCAAGAAUGAACUAGAAAACGAGAGAAUAUUACCGAGUGCAGGAGGAAUAAACAUAAUUCCUAUUCCUUGAUAAUCUUGUUACAGAAGUACCUUCCGUGAAUUGCCAGAAAAUUCAAGUGGGUAGGGAUACGAAAUGGUUCAGUUUUAGUUUGAUUCUUUUGCCUUUUUUUGAGAACUUGUAUUGGUGUAUGCUACUUAGAAAU
rnacentral:lncRNA from 1 species